AGUUGUCUUUGUCUCAGCUCCACAAUCAUUCAGGGAGGUCACUGAAUGUCAACCUUUGUUUGAACAAGGAUGAUUGUCUACUUAUUUAACCUCGGAAUGGAGACUCAGGGAGAAAGCAAGUCAAUGCCUUGGAGAAGGUGUAAGCCCAGAAUGACUGCAGAAGCUGUAUGAGGGGUCAGCAAAGAGGGGAUUUUCCUUCAGAAAGAAUAUAUUUAGCUUCCAUGCUGUGAAAUGAGGGGAGAGGAGCUUUUGAAUGUGAAUAAAUCCUUCCCACCCUGACUUAAAAGUGUGUACCAGUGGUGAACAGAAGUUAGAGGAGUGGCCAGUGGAGUGCAGGAGCUGAGCUCUGCAGAUAGAGGGGGAAGAGAGGUAGUGACAGAUAGGACUCAAUAGAGAUGGUGCAGCCCCUGUGUUAGCUAUGGAACCCAGCUGGCUCACUUGGCCCUGAAGCGUAGCACAGAAUUUUAGUGUACUGAAGUCACUCAGUAAUCUCACUGAAGUGUCUGGAUCCUCAAGUAAUUUAAGUCAUUUGUUGACUUCAGCCGGGGAUCUAAGUCAGACUGUAGAAGUACACAUCUCUGCUCCCCUUCAGUGAUGAAAAAUCUGUUUUAUCUCUUUGUGGUAUGGAGCCACAUGUUCUUGUGGAAUGUGUUCUGGGAAAGAACUGAGUGGCUCUACAUAAUUUUGCCAUGUGUACAGAAGAAAGGUCUAGAAAGGCAAGUGAACUUGGUACCGUUUACUAUUCUUAAGUGGUGACGAAUAAAUCACACUGGGGAGAGGAAAAAAAUCUACAUCAGCCUGUGUUAGUGCUACUGCAAGCAGAAUUAAUUCACAGGGUGUAAAGAGGGAGGAGGAUGCUGGCAGAAACUGCUGAAUGGCUGAGACAAAUGUUCUUGAGCUGGGAAAUGUUCGGCUGUUUCUGUCAUGUAGAGCUGGUGGGGGAAAGCCAGGACACAAAGGUUGACUGUUGGUUUUAUAUGCAGGAACUUUCCUGAUCUGAACGAGGCACAAAGUAGAAACCCAAAGCUUGUUACAUUUUCACUGUCCUGGCACCUUCCACUCUGGGCCCUAGUGCUUCUUACAGCCAUCAUGGUAGGCUGCCUUACUGUUACUGUUUGUAUCACUGUGUUUACUCCAUCAUCUAGCUUUACAGCUAUGCAGAAUACUUUUCAGGGAGUAAAAUAAUGCAUAAUUUUCCUUUCUAAUGGAAAGAUAACAUUAUUGGUGUAUUAGCCUCAUACGUGUUGAUUUGUUUGGAAGGAUAUAUUUUUUAUGCAGUGAUCAAGGAGGACUUCUUGAACUUUCAUAUUGCCACUGUGUAAAAUAAGAAUAUUUAUACAUUUAGGUGGGUAAAUUGUAAAUAGGUGAAAAUAAAGUGAAAUGACUUGA